UACAGAGGUCUCAAGCGUUGUUCGGAUUCACUGGGCGUAAAGGGUGCGUAGGUGGCGCCGUAAGUCAGGUGUGAAAUUUCGGAGCUUAACUCCGAAACUGCAUUUGAUACUGCGGUGCUUGAGGACUGGAGAGGAGACUGGAAUUUACGGUGUAGCAGUGAAAUGCGUAGAGAUCGUAAGGAAGACCAGUGGCGAAGGCGGGUCUCUGGACAGUUCCUGACACUGAGGCACGAAAGCCAGGGGAGCAAACGGG
rnacentral:rRNA from 1 species